UGGCUCAGAGGUUAAGAGCACUGGCUGCUCUUCCAGAGGACCUGAGUUCAAUUCUCAG
rfam:Cricetulus griseus cell line CHO-K1, whole genome shotgun sequence.